ACAAAAAAAAAAAAUAUAUCUAAAGAGUAAUCUUCCCCUAAUCCCCCUACCAGACAACCGUAUUUUAUCGUCACCCUCUCUCUUUCUCGUAGCCGCACCUCCUCUCCGUCGGUCUUCACGCAUAGCAGCACGCUCCAGCAGCCACUAGCCGUUCUCCGUCCCUCUCCUCUCCGCAUUAUAUGGUUGCUUUGGAUUAUUAUGGGAUUUGAUUUGUAAUAUUUCUUUUCCUUGUGAUCAAGCUUAGUCAAUUAAGUAAUGAGAUUCAGUUCUAUUUCAGUGUAUCAACUAUGAAUGAGUGUUUUAUGAUUAUAGUUAUUUAUGAGGCAAAUUAUUCUCUUAAGUGGAUAAUUAUUAAGGCUUGGUUGUUCAUGUUUUUAAUGUAAUUGUUUGCGCGACCUUGGAUUUAAGGCGCUGCUCAUUUUCUAAUUGGUACAUAUGAUCUGGUAAGAUAACUUUUUUUUUAAGUUUAAUUGGAAAUUUAAUUAAAUGAGAUGGUGUGAGGUGUGAUCGUGGUGGAGAUUAACAAACAAGAAUAAUGGAAGUUACACUUACACAUCACAGGUUGCAGUUAUGAAUUCUCUGCCGAAAAAUUCGAAACAACAGCAGGUCAUGAGGAAUCCUCCGUUUUUGACCCGUGCAGUGUUAAUUAAGAUCAUUCUAAUGCGUUGAAGCUUGAACUUGGAUUAUCUAGUCCUGUGGUUUCUUCAGAAGUUGGGAUUAGCCAACCCAAGGAGGAGCAUGAGGUGGAUGAAUUGAGUGAUGCUGAUUGGAGUAAUCUCACAGAAGUGCAAUUGGAAGAACUUCUCUUGAGCAAUUUGGACACCAUUUUUAAGAGUGCAAUAAAAAAGAUUGUUGCAAGUGCCUACACCGAAGAAGUUGCUAAAAAUCCAUCUUAAGGUCUGACAUCUGUUAUGGAUGUAAAGAUACCGUAUCAAAUAUAGUUGAUAAUACGUUAUGAAUCAUGCAGAUUUGUUUGAUGUAUACAUUAAUUUGUUUUCAUUGUCAAUGUUGAUCAUAGAGGUAAGUAACACUCUUGUAAUAUUUUCCAAGCCAUAAUUUUGGAAUUAAAGUCAGCAAGCAAAAUACUCCA